rnacentral:lncRNA from 1 species
AUCAGUUUUCUUCUCCUUCAACCACUCGAGCGAACGCCGGAUAGCUAGGGUUUCGGCCAUGUGAGCUGAUUGAGCUCGGAUUUUCUGCACAAAACCAGCGGUACACACCCCAUCAGCUCCUCUAUAGAUGCCGGCUAUGGAUCCCUCCGAUCUGCUCUCCUACCAUGAACAGUCCACGUUAAUCUUCCACGCGCCCGGAUCUGGA